rnacentral:lncRNA from 1 species
UGUUUUAAAACUUUCACUGCAUAAAGCUUGCAGGCGAACCUUCAGGCAGUCAAAAUAUUUGCCUCAGCAAAAUCUAAAAUAAUAAUAAAAAGGGACAUUGAACUGUGAGAACUGACUACAUAUGCUGAAAACUGAAUUAUGGGAAUUGAUAUUCAAGCUUCAGGAGGUAAAGCAACAAUAUUCACAGAUAAAAACUCCAUUCUUUGCCCUUGGGAAUGGAAUACCGAGUGUAGAUUAAUCGCGGGGCGCUAGCUGCCUCCAUGGCCAGGUGAGGAUGGACGAGCAGUCGGGAUGAGGGUGGGGGCAGUGCUUAGGUCUGAUUCUUAGGGCUGGGGAUCCUGAUCUUUCUUUGGGUCAUGUACUUCUUUGAGGAUCGCAUGGAAUCAGUGCACCCUCUCCCCUGAACGUACAACUUUUUUUCCGAGAGAUUCAAAGAUUGCAUGGAUCCCAGAUCGAGAACUGGUUGAAUGCCUUAGAGAAGACCCGGGCUCCACACUUUGGAAGAGUUGAGUCUGAAAUCAGGAAAUUGGACUCUUCUGGAAUCUCUGACUUUUUAUUGUCCUUGUGGAAGUGUGACAAGUCACUCUUGAAUGGCAACGUCCAAGCUUUCUUGAUGGCAGACAGCAUGGAUCUCUCCUCGUGGCAGCUGUAG